AUGGCGCCAGGGCUCAAACGCUUCACCGACGUCGCCGGAGACGGCACGCCCCGCCUCGACGACGCCGCCGGCGAGGAGCUCGUGUGCGUGGAGCGCGCCGCCUCGGUCGCCCUCGGCAGCCGCGCGCCGGAGCCCCCGGGAACGCUUUUCAUCACCACCAGGAGGGUGAUUUGGCUCAGCGAGGCGGAGAAGGGCAGAGGAUACGCGGUGGGCUUCCUGGACAUCACGCUCCACGCAGUGUCGCGCGACCCGGAGGCGUACCCCUCGCCGUGCCUCUACACUCAGAUUGAAGCCGAAGCUGACUCCGAUGAAGAGGAUGGUGAUCUUGACUCUGAAGCAGAUAGUGACUCACAACUACCAAAAAUCUCUGAGAUGCGUAUUAUACUGGCAGACGCUGCCCAACUAGAUUCACUUUUUGAUGCCUUCUGCCAUUGUGCUGAACUGAACCCUGAUCCUACUGCUGGAAUCGACCCUGAGUUUUUUAUUCCCAACCCGAUAGGUCAAAAUGGUGGAGAUGACCUCAGUUCUUCAGUACUUGAGCUUCAAAUCAAUGACCAGCGUUUCGAGGAUGCCGAGGAAGAGGAGGCCCGUGAAAAUGGGCAUUAG
rnacentral:rRNA from 1 species